GUGUAGUAUUUUUGGUGUUUAUGCAGAGCGAUGGAUUAUAUAAGACGUAAAUGUACUCUUUGUCCAUCUAGUUUUUACCAACAUGGCCGAAGUAUUCACUACCUAUACACUUUGGUUAAAGUAUACACUACCUUUACACUGUGUACAUAUUUUGUAAACUAGAUGAAUGGGCUAUAAUUUCCCCUUAGUAUAAUGUGCAAAUUGACUUAUUUUCUUAGGAGGACACGUUCAACCCGGAAAGUUAAUGCUACAAGCGGAG
rnacentral:lncRNA from 1 species